CGACAGUUGGCGAGCGGGUCGUGCUGAUUGUAGUGGUUGUUGUUGUUUGCUCGGUGCACAACAUGUAAUUGUGGUGAUGACAGCAUCAUCACUUGAAUCAGCAUUCAUCAGUUUGUCAGAUUUCAUCUUUACGGAAGCUGAAACAGAUCAGUCGUGAGAUUGGGGAGUGAUGGCACAAUGUUAAAUCCCAUUUGCAACUCCUCAGAAAAAUGAAACAUCCAAUACUACAUGCUGGUGGCAUAGUGGUAUCUGCACUGGACUUUGAGAUGUUCCAGAGCUGACUGGAAGAGCCGAUGAAAUAGCAUCUGAUGUUGUCCUGUUGAGACAGGAGGCAAAUUGGAGAGGAUCCUCAGGCAGGAGUCGAUGUGCUUAAUCACCAGUCUCUCGAAGCACUUCAUCACUGGGGAUGUAAGUGUGCUAAUGGAUGAUAGUCAUUGAGGCUGGUUACCACGUCCUUCUUGGGCACCUGAAGGAUGCUCUCACGUCAGCCUCAGAGACUGAAAUCACAGGAUUGUCGGGGGUUAUGGGAGUUCAUGAAGGUGCCACCACGUUUUGACAGUCAAAGCAGAUCUCUCCAAAAAUAAAAGAUUAUUCUGUCAAACAACUGUGGCCUAUCAGGGGAUGAAGCCAAACCACCUUUUAAUGAUAUCAUGGCCGAUCGAUGAAUCAUCUUUUGCUUCAUUUCCAUUAUACCUGUGGUAUGAAAAUCUCUUUCAAGCUCGUAUUUGUUAUUUGCAUGGGACAGUUCCAGUUUUCUACUGCUAUAUGUAUUUAGAACUGUUUUCUAACUUUACUCUCAAAGACCUGGCUCUUAGUUUUAGACAAUUCCUCAACCUGUGGAAAUAGUUUCUUUUUCUCCACUUUAACAAAAACAGAAAUGGUAGAAACGCUUAGAAGGUCAAGCAGAUGUCUUCUCCAGCAUUUUCUGUUCUUCAUUUCAGAACCCUGGCAUCUGCAGGUUUUUGAUUUUCAUUUCACUUUUCAAUACUUAAAACUUCAAUCAAAUCUCUUCCAGAAAUACAGCCCUAAAAUGCAUCAUCUCUCCUCUUGUAGAGUAGAGUUGAUGAACGUGAAGGAGAAUAUUUUGAUUCAGCAAACACUCCACAUUCUAAAAAUUAAAGUUACAUUGAGUUUUGAGGACUAGCACAAGUAAUUUCUCCUUUCUUCAUAAUUAAUGUGGUGCAUCAAUAAGUGCAGAUAGCAAAAUGAAAGAACAGUAACACACACAAAUGCUGGAAGAACUCAGCAGGUCAGGCAGUAUCUACGGAGAGGAAUAAACAGUCGACGUUUUGAGAUGCCUUCUGAUAAAGACCCUUCAUCAGGACUUCACCAAUGAAAGAAGUAACUUUCUGCUUUCUUUCCAUAUAUGCCCAAAACAACACACUCUACAGCCUUAACAGAAUAGUAAGUUUGUUCAAGCAACACACAUCAAAGUUGCUGGUGAAUGCAGCAGGCCAGGCAGCAUCUCUAAGAAGAGGUACAGUCGACGUUUUGGGCCGAGACCCUUCGUCAGUAGGUUUGUUCUCAAGUUUGUAUUGAGAGCAUGACAUGAAGAUAGUCUAUUGCCUGAACAAGGAAAGAGUUUUGUUCCAUGUACUGUGCAUUAUAGUGUUUUUCAUCUGUCUCUAUGUGGCCUGUAACUUGACCGACAGUUACUGUAUAACUGGCAGUUUUGCCUGGGAUACAAUUCUAGGACAGUACAUUUUCCCCCACUUUACUCAUCUCUGUAGAUCGUGUGAAUCUGUUUGGGAUCAUAUGUAGCAAAGAGUUUCCCCUUUGGGUGUAAUUGCUGAUCCAAUCACUAAUUACAACACCAACAAAAACUUGCAUCGGUCUGGCACCAUUAAUGUAACACAAAAUUCCAAGGAACAUCACAGAAGAAUUAUCCACAGGCAGCUGACAGAAAUUAAUUGAUAGGUAUCAGGACAGGUGACCAAAAGCUUGGUCAAGGAGCUGAGUUUUUAAGGAGAAUCUUAAGGAGGGAGUGGUAGAGAGGAGGGGUGAAUGAAGGAGGUGAUUCUGGAGCCUAGGACUUCAAUAGCUGAAGGCACAGUGGCCAGUGCUCAUUAAAAUCAGAAGAAAACAGGAGGCCAGAAUUGAAAGAUGAGAGGUUUGUAACACCAAUGAAAGACACAGUAAUGAAGGGGAAGUGUUUUCUUAAAGUGGAUUUGAAUUAUAUUCAGAUUAUAAAAUCAAAGCAAUGUUAAAAGUGGGAGCCAAAGUAGAUCAGCAGGCUUUCACCAUGUUAAAUAAAUAAAUGUUAAAGUGGGUUAAAACAUGCAGCUCAGAUUUUAUCCCGUUUUUAUCUGAAUCUCAUUUGCAAAUCAAUAUUUAGCAAAUCUUCCAUCAUCUCAUUCAAUUAACCAGUAUUCAGAACAUGAUUAAUUUUGUAAUCUUAAAAAUGUUCCUUAAUAUAUUUAAGGCUUGUGACCUGGUGUCAUUUAAAUAAUUCAGUAUAAAAUGGAUCUAUCAUGAAAAAAUUAUACAUCAGUCUUGUCUAUUGCUGUAUGCAACCUAACAAUAAAUAAUUGAGUUAAAAGCUUUACACUAUGACACACUACACAGAUCCUCAGUAAAUGUUUUUUUUUAGAAAUUAUAGUAGUUGAAGAUGGAAGAUUUGUCACAUGAAAUAAAUUAUUUUAGGAGUAGCAUGAAUUACCCAUAAAGAUACACAGCAUAGAAACAGGCCAUUCAGCCCGUUGAAUCUGUGUUAACCAUCGAGCACCCAUUUACCCUAAGCUCAUUUAUUCUUGCCACAUCCUUUUUAACUUUUCACAGAUUCUUCCACUCACCUAAAUACUUGGGGAAGUUUACACUGGCCAGCCGUACAUCUUUGGGAAGCAAGAGGAAACUGGAGCACAGGGAGGCAACCCCUGCAGUAACAGGGAAAACAUGUAAACUCCACGGUCAGCUCUAGAGAUUAGGACUAAACCUGUAAUGCAGCAGCUCUACCAGCCACUGCACAGUGCUGCCAAGCACAAUUAAUUAAAAUUCUUAAGCUGAUAAAUUUAGUCUGAGUAUUGGAGCCGAAUUCACAGACUUUCAUUCCAACAGUUCCUAAGUUACUGGAACGAUCAUACAAAUGUUUGCAGAUAAAGCAAGCUUUUCAGCUUGCUUGAGCACCAAGACAUAAGCCCUUGAGACAAGGUUGCAGAUUUAAGCCAUUUGGCUAAAUGUGUCCACUACACUAUUCCAUAAUGGCUGAUUUAUUUUCCCUCUCGAUCCCAUUCUCUUGCCUUUUCCCCAUAACCUUUUACAUCCUUACUAAUCAAGAAACAUCAACCUCCGCUUGAGAUAUACCCAAUGACUUGGCCUCUACAGCCGUCUCCUGCACUGAAUUCCACAGAUUCACUACCCUCUGGCUAAAGAAAUUCCUUCUCAUCUGUGUUCUAAAGGGACGUCGUUGUAAUCAGAGGCUCUGUGGUCCUAGACUCUCCUCUUGUAUACUCAAAAUACGCCUUUCAAUAUUUGGUAUGUUUUAAUAAGAUCCCCAAUUCUUCUAAACUAGGCUAGAUAAAUACGUUAACUAAUGUGUUCACUCAAAAAGCAGCAGACCUGCUGAAAGGUCUCCUUAUUAAGAUUUAUAUAUUUGUGUAUGAGUGAAUAUGCAACAGCUUUGCUGAUCCUUACUGUUCUAAAUUUACGUAAGAUUACUAAAAGAGCUAAAGGAAUAACAUUCUAAAAUAAAACCAAUUGAUUUUGUCAGUGUA